AUUGAACGCUGGCGGCAGGCCUAACACAUGCAAGUCGAGCGGAUGAAGGGAGCUUGCUCCUGGAUUCAGCGGCGGACGGGUGAGUAAUGCCUAGGAAUCUGCCUGGUAGUGGGGGAUAACGUCCGGAAACGGGCGCUAAUACCGCAUACGUCCUGAGGGAGAAAGUGGGGGAUCUUCGGACCUCACGCUAUCAGAUGAGCCUAGGUCGGAUUAGCUAGUUGGUGGGGUAAAGGCCUACCAAGGCGACGAUCCGUAACUGGUCUGAGAGGAUGAUCAGUCACACUGGAACUGAGACACGGUCCAGACUCCUAAGGGAGGCAGCAGUGGGGAAUAUUGGACAAUGGGCGAAAGCCUGAUCCAGCCAUGCCGCGUGUGUGAAGAAGGUCUUCGGAUUGGAAAGCACUUUAAGUUGGGAGGAAGGGCAGUAAGUUAAUACCUUGCUGUUUUGACGUUACCAACAGAAUAAGCACCGGCUAACUUCGUG
rnacentral:rRNA from 1 species